rnacentral:rRNA from 1 species
GUCUAUGGUCAUACCACCCUGAAUGUACCCAAUCCUGUCUGAUCUUGUGAAGCUAAGCAGGGUUGGGCCUUAAUACUUGGAUGGGAGACCAGCCAGAAAUACUGGGUGCUAUAGGCU